GGUCGAAAGGGGAAAUUCAUUCGCGUUUCGACUGUCGGCGAUAGGUGAGCUAGUGACGGAUGGCGUUCGCGUCGUCUGCGCAGUUCAUUUAUCGAACUGGCGUCGAACGCGUGCACUUUUCCCCUAGUAGGACGUUGCGAUCCGUUGGGUGUCGGUCUAAGGCUCGAGGUGGAGCCCACGUGGACGUUUCGGCGUUCUGCGUGGACCCUCGGUGUCCCGGCCGACUCGCUCGACGGUAUAAUGAUGGCGCGGGGCCGCUACAUAGUUAGCGUUCGGCUCGUGGCAAGCACGUUCGGUGUUUGACGGCGAUCGGACCUAGUGCCGAUCCUGUCCCCGUUCGACUGUUGGCUGCGAUGUUCUCGAACAGACCUCG
rnacentral:rRNA from 1 species